GACGAACGCUGGCGGCGUGCUUAACACAUGCAAGUCGAACGGUGAAGCGCCUUCCUUUAUGGGGGGUGUGGAUGAGUGGCGAACGGGUGAGUAACACGUGAGUAACCUGCCCCCUUCUUCUGGAUAACCGCAUUAAAGUUUGUCUAAUACGGGAUAUUCUGUGUCUGUCGCAUGUUGGGUCUGGGUAAGAUGUUGCUUCGGUGGGGGAUGAGCUCGCGGCCUAGCAGCUUGUUGGUGGGGUGAUGGCCUACCAAGGCGGUGACGGGUAGCCGGCCUGAGAGGGUGUAAGGCCACAUUGGGACUGAGAUGCGGCCCAGACUCCUACGGGAGGCAGCAGUGGGGAAUAUUGCACAAUGGGCGGAAGCCUGAUGCAGCGACGCCGCGUGGUGGAUGACGGCCGUCGGGUGGUAACCGCCUUUCGACAGGGACGAAGCGUGAGAGACGGUACCUGUAGAAGAAGCACCGGCUAACUACGUG
rnacentral:rRNA from 1 species